GCCUGGGUGGCUCAGUCGGUUAAGCAUCCAACUUUGACUCAGAUCAUGAUCUCAUGAUGUUCAGUUUGUGAGUUCGAACCCCACUUCAGGUU
rnacentral:tRNA from 1 species